ACAGUUGAGCCUUGAACAACGUGAGUGUUAGACGGGUUGACUGUGCAGUGGAAAAUCCAUGCAUAACUUUACAGUGGCCCUCUGUAUCCACAGUUCCACAUCCUCUGAUUCAUCCAA